UGGAGGGGCGCUGCGUACGAUGCGGUCAAUCGAUGAACCGCUUUCGGGCGGGGAUUAGUGGCGAACGGGUGAGUAACACGUGGGCAAUCUGCCCUGCACUCUGGGACAAGCCCUGGAAACGGGGUCUAAUACCGGAUAUGACUGUCCAUCGCAUGGUGGAUGGUGUAAAGCUCCGGCGGUGCAGGAUGAGCCCGCGGCCUAUCAGCUUGUUGGUGAGGUAGUGGCUCACCAAGGCGACGACGGGUAGCCGGCCUGAGAGGGCGACCGGCCACACUGGGACUGAGACACGGCCCAGACUCCUACGGGAGGCAGCAGUGGGGAAUAUUGCACAAUGGGCGAAAGCCUGAUGCAGCGACGCCGCGUGAGGGAUGACGGCCUUCGGGUUGUAAACCUCUUUCAGCAGGGAAGAAGCGAAAGUGACGGUACCUGCAGAAGAAGCGCCGGCUAACUACGUGCCAGCAGCCGCGGUAAUACGUAGGGCGCAAGCGUUGUCCGGAAUUAUUGGGCGUAAAGAGCUCGUAGGCGGCUUGUCACGUCGGUUGUGAAAGCCCGGGGCUUAACCCCGGGUCUGCAGUCGAUACGGGCAGGCUAGAGUUCGGUAGGGGAGAUCGGAAUUCCUGGUGUAGCGGUGAAAUGCGCAGAUAUCAGGAGGAACACCGGUGGCGAAGGCGGAUCUCUGGGCCGAUACUGACGCUGAGGAGCGAAAGCGUGGGGAGCGAACAGGAUUAGAUACCCUGGUAGUCCACGCCGUAAACGGUGG
rnacentral:rRNA from 1 species